rnacentral:piRNA from 1 species
GUGAUUGCAGAACCAGAAGGGACA